rnacentral:lncRNA from 1 species
AGAUGGCCCAAUGGAGGAGUCCAAACCAAAGCCCAGGUCGUUCAUGCCCAACUUGGUGCCUCCCAAGAUCCCCGAUGGAGAGAGAGUGGACUUUGAUGACAUCCACCGGAAGCGCAUGGAGAAGGACCUGAAUGAGUUGCAGGCGCUGAUCGAGGCUCACUUUGAGAACAGGAAGAAAGAGGAGGAGGAGCUCGUUUCUCUCAAAGACAGGAUCGAGAGACGUCGGGCAGAGCGGGCCGAGCAGCAGCGCAUCCGGAAUGAGCGGGAGAAGGAGCGGCAGAACCGCCUGGCUGAAGAGAGGGCUCGACGAGAGGAGGAGGAGAACAGGAGGAAGGCUGAGGAUGAGGCCCGGAAGAAGAAGGCUUUGUCCAACAUGAUGCAUUUUGGGGGUUACAUCCAGAAGGUAGACAGAGCGGAAAAGUGGGAAGAGGCAGACUGAGCGGGAAAAGAAGAAGAAGAUUCUGGCUGAGAGGAGGAAGGUGCUGGCCAUUGACCACCUGAAUGAAGAUCAGCUGAGGGAGAAGGCCAAGGAGCUGUGGCAGAGCAUCUAUAACUUGGAGGCAGAGAAGUUCGACCUGCAGGAGAAGUUCAAGCAGCAGAAAUAUGAGAUCAAUGUUCUCCGAAACAGGAUCAACGAUAACCAGAAAGUCUCCAAGACCCGCGGGAAGGCUAAAGUCACCGGGCGCUGGAAAUAGAGCCUGGCCUCCUUCACCAAAGAUCUGCUCCUCGCUCGCACCUGCCUCCGGCCUGCACUCCCCCAGUUCCCGGGCCCUCCUGGGCACCCCAGGCAGCUCCUGUUUGGAAAUGGGGAGCUGGCCUAGGUGGGAGCCACCACUCCUGCCUGCCCCCACACCCACUCCACACCAGUAAUAAAAAGCCAC